rnacentral:rRNA from 1 species
AUCGAUGAAGAACGCAGCGAAAUGCGAUAAGUAAUGUGAAUUGCAGAAUUCAGUGAAUCAUCGAAUCUUUGAACGCACCUUGCGCCACGUGGUAUUCCACGGGGCACGCCUGUUUGAGUGUCACGUAAACCCAUCGUGUCGCGGAUUGUCAUGAUCUGCGGGGCGGAUUUGGACGCUGCCGUAGUUGGCUCGUCUCGAAAUGCAUUAGCCAGUCCGAGGACGCGCGCCACUGGUGUGAUAAUUCACUUUGCGCCGCUGGUGUGUCCGACGAAGGCUCAUAAUCGCCCGCAAGGGCAACAUUUUUAAUGCUCUGGCCUCAAAUCAGGUGGGACUACCCGCUGAACUUAAGCAUAUCAAUAAGCGGAGGAAAAGAAACUAACAAGGAUUCCCCUAGUAACGGCGAGUGAAGAGGGAAAAGCUCAAAUUUGUAAUCUGGCGGUCUCUGGCCGUCCGAGUUGUAAUUUGGAGAGGCGUCUUCCGUGUCGGACCACGUACAAGUCCCCUGGAACGGGGCGUCGUAGAGGGUGAGAAUCCCGUUCACGACGUGGACUACCGAUGCUAUGUGAUGCGCCCUCGAAGAGUCGAGUUGUUUGAGAAUGCAGCUCAAAAUGGGUGGUAAAUUCCAUCUAAAGCUAAAUAUUGGCGAGAGACCGAUAGCGAACAAGUACCGUGAGGGAAAGAUGAAAAGAACUUUGGAAAGAGAGUUAAACAGUACGUGAAAUUGCUGAAAGGGAAACGCUUGGAGUCAGUCGCUUCGUCGGGGAUUCAGCCGGGCUUCUGUUCGGUGUACUUCCUCGGUGAGGGGUCAGCAUCGAUUUCGGUUGCGGGAAAAAGGCGUGAGGAAGGUGGCACCUCCGGGUGUGUUAUAGCCUUGCGUCAUAACCGUGAUUGGGAUCGAGGACCGCAGCGCGCCCGCAAGGGUUUGAGGUUCGCCUCUAAACACGCGCUUAGGAUGCUGGCGUAAUGGCUUUAAGCGACCCGUCUUGAAACACGG